rnacentral:rRNA from 1 species
UUGGCUCAGAUUGAACGCUGGCGGAAUGCUUACACAUGCAAGUCGAACGGCAGCACGGGGGCAACCCUGGUGGCGAGUGGCGAACGGGUGAGUAACACAUCGGAACGUGCCCAUGUCGUGGGGGAUAACGCAGCGAAAGCUACGCUAAUACCGCAUACGAUCUACGGAUGAAAGCGGGGGACCUGUGAGGGCCUCGCGCGAUUGGAGCGGCCGAUGGCAGAUUAGGUAGUUGGUGGGGUAAAGGCUCACCAAGCCUGCGAUCUGUAGCUGGUCUGAGAGGACGACCAGCCACACUGGGACUGAGACACGGCCCAGACUCCUACGGGAGGCAGCAGUGGGGAAUUUUGGACAAUGGGCGCAAGCCUGAUCCAGCCAUUCCGCGUGCAGGAUGAAGGCCUUCGGGUUGUAAACUGCUUUUGUACAGAACGAAAAGGCGCUUUUAAUACAGGGCGCUCAUGACGGUACUGUAAGAAUAAGCACCGGCUAACUACGUG